GAAGGAACACACAUUUUUAGAGAAAUAAUACAUUGAGAAGAAAAUAAAGCUGACUCUAAUGUCCCAGGGGGCUUUGUCUGUUCCUUCUAGUCCCACAUGGAUCUGCACCUUAGCUGAGGGAGUGUGGGUCAGGAGAUCAAUCAAUCUUUAUGUCAGGGUUUUGGGGUUGUGUCGGUCAUUGUGCUGCAGGGGGUGGUGUGGGGCACAAUUGGUUACAGCUGGCACUGCUGGCAGGCGCACCUGUAGGCAAUUUACAUUGGGCUGCCUAUUUAAGCAGGUUGCGCCUGCCUGUCAGUGCCAGGGUGUCUGUUUGUGUUGUGAGGGUGUUUGUUCGGGUUCCCCCGUCGUGUGUUGGAUCUGCGGUCCUGGAGGACUGUUGUUCCUGAGUUCUCUGCGGUCCUGGAGGACUGCUGUUCCUGAGUUCUCUGCGGUCCUGGAGGACUGCUGUUCCUGUUCCCGAGUUUCCUGUUGCCCUGGAGGGCCACUUCUGUUCCCGAGUUUCCUGUUGCCCUGGAGGGCCACCUCUGUUCCCGAGUUUCCUGUUGCCCUGGAGGGCCACCUCUGUUCCCGAGUUUCCUGUUGCCCUGGAGGGCCACCUCUGUUCCCGAGUUUCCUGUGGCCCUGGAGGGCCGCUUCUGUUCCCUGUGCUCGGCUGUCCUGGAGGGCCGCCCGCGUCUUGUGUUGCCUCCCUUCCCCCGUAAAUAAAACCUUGUGACUAUUUUACUACUGUGUCCUGGCCUGCGUUCGGGUCCUGUUCACCCCCCUCCGUGACAGAACACCCUGGCCAGUGUGGACCCGGCGGGUCAGGAUGCAGUGGAGCUAAAGACACAACCCCUCCCUUCCCCUUCCCUGACAGUAACCUCCCCCGUCGCUUCUUUUGUGCCCACUUUGAUGGUCCUUGUAGGGCGCCAGGAGGCGCCCGUUGAGGGGGAGGUAAUGUCAGGGUUUUGGGGUUGUGUCGGUCAUUGUGCUGCAGGGGGUGGUGUGGGGCACAAUUGGUUACAGCUGGCACUGCUGGCAGGCGCACCUGUAGGCAAUUUACAUUGGGCUGCCUAUUUAAGCAGGUUGUGCCUGCCUGUCAGUGCCAGGGUGUCUGUUUGUGUUGUGAGGGUGUUUGUUCGGGUUCCCUCGUCAUGUGUUGGAUCUGCGGUCCUGGAGGACUGUUGUUCCUGAGUUCUCUGCGGUCCUGGAGGACUGCUGUUCCUGAGUUCUCUGCGGUCCUGGAGGACUGCUUCUGUUCCUGAGUUCUCUGCGGUCCUGGAGGACUGCUUCUGUUCCUGAGUUCUCUGCGGUCCUGGAGGACUGCUUCUGUUCCUGAGUUCUCUGCGGUCCUGGAGGGCUGCUUCUGUUCCUGAGUUCUCUGCGGUCCUGGAGGACUGCUUCUGUUCCUGAGUUCUCUGCGGUCCUGGAGGACUGCUUCUGUUCCUGAGUUCUCUGCGGUCCUGGAGGACUGCUUCUGUUCCUGAGUUCUCUGCGGUCCUGGAGGACUGCUUCUGUUCCUGAGUUCUCUGCAGUCCUGGAGGACUGCUUCUGUUCCUGAGUUCUCUGCAGUCCUGGAGGACUGCUUCUGUUCCUGAGUUCUCUGCAGUCCUGGAGGGCCGCCUCUGUUCCCGAGUUUCCUGCGGCCCUGGAGGGCCACCUCUGUUCCCGAGUUUCCUGUGGCCCUGGAGGGCCGCUUCUGUUCCCUGUGCUCGGCUGUCCUGGAGGGCUGCCCGCGUCUUGUGUUGCCUCCCUUCCCCCGUAAAUAAAACCUUGACUAUUUUACUACUGUGUCCUGGCCUGCGUUCGGGUCCUGUUCACCCCCCUCCGUGACACUUUAUUUAUAUAGCGUCUGUUACAAUCAAAAUUAUUUCUUUACAGAAUCCCAGGGCCUGACCCACAACAAGCAACAGUGGCAAGGAAAACCCCCAUUUUACAGGAAAAAACCUUGAGUAGGACCAGGCUCAUGUAGGGGGACCCUCCUGCUGAUGACCGUUGGGGGAGGACACGUAGAGGAGAGAAUAGGCAGAUGUCAUAGAAAUACGUACAUUAAUAAUACAAGCUGCUGGUAUAACAGUAGCAGGGUCGGCAGGCCAGCAUAUAGCUAUAAAGGCAGCUAGAUGUUAAGAACGGUUGUAUCAGGACCCGGAAGCAGGCAACACGCAGUGGAGAAUGGUGUUUGAAAAGAGUCUUUAUUUUAAAGUGAACAAGAACAGUUUGGGCCGGGUUCACAGAGAGGCACAGAGAGCUCAACUGAGUCCAAAUCAAGUCCACUAGGAAAACUCACAAAAAAGUCAAGCCACAGAAGUCAGGGUUGGGAACAGAGCUUGAAAAUAUAGCCCUUGCACCUGAGAGUCGCUGGCAGGGUUGUUAGUAGGGUCUUUCACGUAGUUUCAGUUGAUGUGUCUCUCCUUUGUCUGCUGGCUGACAUAGUGGUGAGUCACCAGGUCUCCUGAAAUGGUGUGAACGUUUGGUUUGUUGUUGGAAGGAGUGGAGGACUGCAUUGUAUGUGGGUGGAUAGGAAGUGCCUUAGCCCACCACCUCAGUUUAAGGAUGUUUUUUUCCAAUUUGACAUGGAUGACUUCGUUGACACCCCUCUCAAACCAACAAUCUUCUCUGGCCAGUACUCGUACUUGGCUAUCUUCAAAGGAGUGCCUGCUCUUCUUUAGGUGUAAGUGGACUGCUGAGUCCUGACCUGAAGAGGUGGCGUUUUCGUCGUAACACCCCUUCUCUGAGGAGGCAGAAACAAGGCCUUGAAAGUUUCUACUGCAUCUGACCAUGCACUGCUCUCAGACAGGGUCAGUUGAAUCAGACUUGGUUAGCUCUCCCUCAAAGCUCUCACUGCCGUGCAAGCUCUGGGGCCACAGCGGCAAGUAUCUGUGGGAGAAGAAUGGAAAUAAGUAAAUGAAAAUCUGAAAGAGACUUGCUUUAAAUAGUUUUGCAUUGUGGAUGGCAAGUUAUCGAUUGUGGUACAUGCAGUGUAUCGAGAAUAUCCUCAUGAAUUCCGUGUUUGUUAAGACACUGAUACAAUGUGUUGCCACUAGCCUCGCCACUUCCACUUUCAUCACUGUAUAACAGACAUAACAGGCCUGAGUUUAGAGUUAGUAAACAAUGAGAUGUUGUCCUUUUAUCAAGUAGAAUGCUGAACUUAUCUAGGGACUGGACAACACAUUCAGCUAGCUGAGCUAAUAGUUUCCCUGCUAU
rnacentral:lncRNA from 1 species